GAAAAACUUAAUUGCAUUUCCGGGCAGCUAUAUAAACCACUGGGGAACCAUAGUUCGGCGCGGCCUGUGUGUUCACCCGGAGUCGUUUCUCACACGGACACCAACACGGAUUUAGCACGCAGACGAACGUCCGCUGUUUUAAUCCCUUCCGAGCCGGGUCGUCGUUCAGUAGCAUGCAAAAUAUGUUAACCAUUAUCUCUAACGCACUUUGUAGGAUCACUGGCCGACAUGCGGGAGCCCAAACAGUGUCCGAGUUGCUGAUCGACCUGUCAGAGUACGUCAGUGUCACCUCGCCGGCGGCGCCCGCCUUGGCACAGACGCAGCGGCAACCACCUAAACCACCACCAGUCAGCUCUAGGGCGUCUGCUGCACAGUUAGUUAGCGCCCAGGCCGACCAGCUAGACAGACCAGGUGCCAGAGUUGUGGUUUCCCGCUCUUUUGCUGACUGUCACCUCUCAGGCGACCUUUGACAUCAAGGUGGGUCGAAACGAAAACACUUUGUUACCUUUAAUGCCACAUUUAUUCUGUCGUCGUAUUUAUCUGCGAUUUGUUAUUUAAAUGUGUGCCUCCCCAGAAAAAUAAACCUACCAAAGGGACAACAUCGAUAGGGUUAGUUAGCGGCGUCGUUUUUGUCAAUUAUGCACCAAAGCUAUGGAACACUUUACCUGCAGACAUUAGGGAGGCAAGCUCGCUCAGUAUCUUCACAAGUAAACUGAAGACAUAUCUCUUUACUUUAGCCUUUUAAUGGUGAUAUUUUAUAUCUCUUUACUUUAGCCUUUUAAUAGUGAUAUUUUAUAUCUCUUUACUUUAGCCUUUUAAUGGUGAUAUUUUAUAUCUCUUUACUUUAGCCUUUUAAUAGUGAUAUUUUAUAUCUCUUUACUUUAGCCUUUUAAUAGUGAUAUUUUAUAUCUCUUUACUUUAGCCUUUUAAUAGUGAUAUUUUAUAUCUCUUUACUUUAGCCUUUUAAUAGUGAUAUUUUAUAUCUCUUUACUUU
rnacentral:lncRNA from 1 species